UGGGGAAUAUUGCACAAUGGGCGCAAGCCUGAUGCAGCCAUGCCGCGUGUAUGAAGAAGGCCUUCGGGUUGUAAAGUACUUUCAGCGGGGAGGAAGGUGUUGAGGUUAAUAACCUCAGCAAUUGACGUUACCCGCAGAAGAAGCACCGGCUAACUCCGUGCCAGCAGCCGCGGUAAUACGGAGGGUGCAAGCGUUAAUCGGAAUUACUGGGCGUAAAGCGCACGCAGGCGGUCUGUCAAGUCGGAUGUGAAAUCCCCGGGCUCAACCUGGGAACUGCAUUCGAAACUGGCAGGCUAGAGUCUUGUAGAGGGGGGUAGAAUUCCAGGUGUAGCGGUGAAAUGCGUAGAGAUGUGGAGGAAUACCGGUGGCGAAGGCGGCCCCCUGGACAAAGACUGACGCUGAGGUGCGAAAGCGUGGGGAGCAAACA
rnacentral:rRNA from 1 species